AAAAGAACAAAAUGAAACACUGGUAAUUAAACACUGGUAAUUAAGGCAGUCACUCACACACACUCACUCACACACACUCCUCACACUGAUAAGUUUUUAUUUAUUUAUGUAGUCAAGUCUUUUGUGGACAACAAGUACGUGAGACGUAUGGGGUGUUAUCUGUGUCAAAAUUACUAUGCCAGUGUGCAUAUGCCGGUGUUCAAUGUGCAUAUGCCGGUGUGCAAUGUGCAUAUGCCGGUGUGCAAUGUGCAUAUGUCAACAUGCAUGUGCAUAUGCCAGUGUGCAAUGUGCAUAUGUCAACAUGCAUAUGCAUAUGCCAGUGUGCAAUCAAUGUGUGCUGCACAUUUAUAUAAUUAUGUCAGUGUCCAAUGUGUAUAUGUCAGCAUGUGAAUUUACAUGCAUGUAUCUAUGAUGUAUGACAUCGCAAGUUCACGAUACGUACAUGUCAUGCGGAGGUCAAAGGUGAACAUGCUAGGUGUGCUCUAAAUGCAAAGCCCACCAAAUGGAAGGAGUUGUAGCUUCACUUGCGAAUAGGCUUGAUGCACUUGUUGUUAGUAUACAGCAUGUUGAUGUAGAUGACACUGACGAGUUAGAAAACUUUUGUGUUCGCCUGGAAUCACUAUAUGCUGACUUGAUCGAAACUGAUUUAAGUUUUGGUGGUCUAAUUCCUUCUCAAGUAAUACAAAAUGUAUUUGAGUGCUGGAAGCAAUUUCAAGAUGUUGAAGUAUCCAUACCAGGCCGGCCUGCAUUCGAAAUUUCCCCUAGUGCACUUGAGAGUCUCAUGGACCUCCAGUUCACGUCUCAAGACAUUGCCACAAUUCUUGGUGUGUCUAGAAGUACUGUUUGUAGGCGAAUGAGGCAGUAUGGCCUCUCAUAUGAAACUAACUAUUGCUGUAUCAGCGACCAAAACCUCGAUGAGAUUGUGACAACAAUAUCUGCACAACAUCCAGGAUGUGGUAGCAAAAUGAUGAACGGUCACCUUCGGGCACAGGGAAUAAUUACUCAACAAAUUCGAAUAAGAGAAUCUCUACGACGGACUGAUCCUGAGGGUAUAGCUAGUAGGCUUCAUACCAGUGUACGUCGACGAGUCUACAACGUUCCUGCACCCCAAUAUUUAUGGCACAUAGAUGGAAACCAUAAAUUAGUAAGAUGGAGAUUUGUGGUGCAUGGUGGAAUAGAUGGUUAUUCAAGGUUGCCUGUGUUUUUGAAUUGUUCUACUACCAACACUUCCGAAUUGGUUUUUCAGUAUUUCCUUGAAGCAGUUAACACGUACGGAUGUCCACUACGAGUGAGAUCAGAUAUGGGAGGAGAAAAUAUUAAGGUAGCCGAAUACAUGUGGUCUCGCCAGCACACUGGAUUAGGUGAAGGUAUGAUUAUGGGUCGAUCGGUUCAUAACCAAAGAAUCGAGAGACUUUGGAGAGACGUGUAUCAAGGUUGUCUUGGUCUAUACUACAACAUCUUCUCUUAUCUCGAAACGUGUGGACAUCUUGAUCCAUGCAACGAGCUUCAUUUACUUGUUCUCCACUAUGUCUAUAAACCGAGAAUUCAACAGAGCCUGGACAGUUUUAGAUAUGCUUAUGCUCACCACCCACUGAGCUCCUGUGGGAAUCGAAGUCCGAUACAAUUGUUUGUUUCUGGUGCUAUUCGCUGUGCACAGAUACACCAACAAAACUAUGGGUCUGUAUCUGUAAGUGAUGGAAUCGACCUCAGUGCUCCACUACCGUACUCGCUUGAUGACCACACUGUAGUUGUACCACAGGUGACAAUGCCAAACCCUGAACUAUGCUUACAACAAUUACGUCGGUGCAAUA